rnacentral:miRNA from 10 species
UGAGUUGGUUAUACAUUCUUGCG